rnacentral:rRNA from 1 species
AUGAACGCUAGCUACAGGCUUAACCCAUGCAAGUCGCGGGGCAGCAUGGGGGUUGCUUGCAAUCCCCGAUGGCGACCGGCGCACGGGUGAGUAACGCGUAUCCAACCUGCCCUUCACCACGGGAUAACCCGGCGAAAGUCGGACUAAUACCGUAUGUUGUCCAUUGACGGCAUCCGAUUUGGACGAAAGGUUUGGCGGUGAAGGAUGGGGAUGCGUCCGAUUAGCUGGACGGCGGGGUGACGGCCCACCGUGGCGACGAUCGGUAGGGGUUCUGAGAGGAAGGUCCCCCACACUGGAACUGAGACACGGUCCAGACUCCUACGGGAGGCAGCAGUGAGGAAUAUUGGUCAAUGGGCGUAAGCCUGAACCAGCCAAGUAGCGUGCAGGAUGACGGCCCUAUGGGUUGUAAACUGCUUUUAUGCGGGGAUAAAGUGGCCCACGUGUGGGUUUUUGCAGGUACCGCAUGAAUAAGGACCGGCUAAUUCCGUG